rnacentral:rRNA from 1 species
UACGUAGGGUGCGAGCGUUGUCCGGAAUUAUUGGGCGUAAAGAGCUCGUAGGCGGUCUGUCGCGUCGAUCGUGAAAGCUUGGGGCUCAACCCCGAGUCGGCCGUGCGAACUGCUGGGCUUGAGCACUGUAGAGGCAGGCGGAAUUCCGGGUGUAGCGGUGGAAUGCGUAGAGAUCCGGAAGAACACCGGUGGCGAAGGCGGCCUGCUGGGCAGUAGCUGACACUGAGGCGCGACAGCGUGGGGGAGCAAACAGG